rnacentral:pre_miRNA from 1 species
CAUGUACUUCCUCUGUUCGGAAUUACUUGUCGCAAAAAUGGAUGUAUCAAGAACUAAAAUACAUCUAGAAACAUCUAUUUCUCCGACAAGUAAUUCUGAAUGAAGGGAGUACUAA